rnacentral:rRNA from 3 species
GUAGCUAAAUGCGGAAGAGAUAAGUGCUGAAAGCAUCUAAGCACGAAACUUGCCCCGAGAUGAGUUCUCCCUGAGACUUUAGGUCUCCUGAAGGAACGUUGAAGACGACGACGUUGAUAGGCCGGGUGUGUAAGCGCAGCGAUGCGUUGAGCUAACCGGUACUAAUGAACCGUGAGGCUUAACCUUACAACGCCGAAG